UACGGAGGAUCCGAGCGUUAUCCGGAUUUAUUGGGUUUAAAGGGUGCGUAGGCGGCCUAUUAAGUCAGGGGUGAAAGACGGUAGCUUAACUAUCGCAGUGCCUUUGAUACUGAUGGGCUUGAAUAUACUUGAGGUAGGCGGAAUGUGACAAGUAGCGGUGAAAUGCAUAGAUAUGUCACAGAACACCGAUUGCGAAGGCAGCUUACUAUGAUGAGAUUGACGCUGAGGCACGAAAGCGUGGGGAUCAAACAGG
rnacentral:rRNA from 1 species